rnacentral:rRNA from 1 species
CACGUAGGAGGCGAGCGUUGUCCGGAAUCAUUGGGCGUAAAGAGCGCGCAGGCGGCUUGGCAAGUCGGGUGUGAAAUCCCCGGGCUUAACCUGGGAACUGCACUUGUGACUGCACAGCUGGAGUGCGGCAGAGGGGGAUGGAAUUCCGCGUGUAGCAGUGAAAUGCGUAGAUAUGCGGAGGAACACCGAUGGCGAAGGCAAUCCCCUGGGCCUGCACUGACGCUCAUGCACGAAAGCGUGGGGAGCAAACAGG